rnacentral:rRNA from 1 species
GACGAACGCCGGCGGCGUGCUUAACACAUGCAAGUCGAACGGGUCUGCCCUGUUUUUUGCGGGGUGGGUCAGUGGCGAACGGGUGAGUAACACGUGAGUAACCUGCCCCUCACUUCUGGAUAACCGCUUGAAAGGGUGGCUAAUACGGGGUGUUCUGGCUGUGCCGCAUGGUGUGGCUGGGAAAGAUUCACUUUUGUGGUGUUUUGGUGGGGGAUGGGCUCGCGGCCUAUCAGCUUGUUGGUGGGGUGAUGGCCUGCCAAGGCUUUGACGGGUAGCCGGCCUGAGAGGGUGGGCGGUCACACUGGGACUGAGAUACGGCCCAGACUCCUGCGGGAGGCAGCAGUGGGGGGUAUUGCACAAUGGGCGGAAGCCUGAUGCAGCGACGUCGCGUGAGGGAUGGAGGCCUUCGGGUUGUGAACCUCUUUCGCCGGUGAAGAAGGUCCUGCUCUUUGUGGUGGGGUUGACGGUAGCCGGGUUAUGAAGCGCCGGCUAACUACGUG